UAUAUAAGCGAGCGCUGCGCCCAAAUCGAGGUCUUUUUACAUCCCCUAGACCAGAGAUACGUUGAUCAUCCAACAUCCCAUAGUAGUAUUUGUUAACCACCAAACUCGUUACACCCGGACAAACUGUGUAAUCAUAAUUUAGUUCAAAGUAAAUAUAGUUGUAGUAAAAGUUCUAACAUAAAACUACACUUUCAUGCAAAAGGGAUGGAAAAAAAAUCAUUAAUUCGAGUCAGGGAACGUAUAACUAGUGUCGAGGAAGUGUGAUCGAUCAUUUCAAACGUGAACUCGUCAAAUAUGGACCCUCCAACCCUAAAAUCGCAAUCGAUCCCAGCGAUAGACAACAUUGACACGGUAUAUGAGGUUCUCUCAUAUAAUAUUCCAGGAAUGCGAAGAGAGUUGCUGAACAGGCAUCCUCUCACGGGCCACGGCGACAGAGACUUACCGUUGAAGAAGGUGUUUUUGCACCAUCCAGAAUUUCCGGGGGGGGGGGCAGAUGAUACUAUUUCCAAUUCUAGGGGGGCCAGGCCCCCCCUGCCCCCCUUCCUACGCCUCUGUCCACCAGGCUAAGAAUGAAACCCAUAAAAGGAAUCACCAAAUCUUACAAUCUAUAUUAUACAGCUACAAGCAAAAUCUUGGAAGCACUAUUUCUGACAAACUACCGGAACGAUAAGGAUGAUCUUUACAUGUAUGUCAUCUGUAAUAGCUGUAGAUAUGCAAAAAAUUAUGAAACCCCGAACUUUCAAUGUUGAAUUAAAAUGGAAGAACAUUUUUACCUAUACAUAUGCGUACAGAACCCGCGAAGCGGGUCUGAGGGCGCAAAGCGCCCUCCAGGGGGUUAGGCCGCGUAGCGGUCAGGGGGCAGGGCCCCCUAGUUUUUUUAUGCCAUUCAACCGAGGAAAAUAAAGAACACUUUAAUACAGAGA